UACGGAGGGUGCGAGCGUUAUCCGGAUUUAUUGGGUUUAAGGGGUGCGUAGGCGGGAUGCCAAGUCAGCGGUAAAAAUGCGGUGCUCAACGCCGUCGAGCCGUUGAAACUGGCGUUCUUGAGUGGGCGAGAAGUAUGCGGAAUGCGUGGUGUAGCGGUGAAAUGCAUAGAUAUCACGCAGAACUCCGAUUGCGAAGGCAGCAUACCGGCGCCCUACUGACGCUGAGGCACGAAAGCGUGGGUAUCGAACAGG
rnacentral:rRNA from 1 species